UAUAUCAGGUUAAAACAAAGAUUUUCAUUUCACUAUUGCACAGUUUUUAUAAAUUCCCUGGUAAACGCGAACCUAAUAUUCGUUAAUUGAAACAAAAAUCGAAAAUGCGAAAGCGCUUAAGAGGCGGUUAAUUGAUUGGAAAAAACUGUGCAUUUCAACGUCGCCAUUAAAAUUAAUAUUAAUAUUAAUAUUAAGCGCCCAGUUUAAAAAGCGAUGGGACAAUGCUGCAUAUUGAAAUUGUAUACGCCACUACGCCAUUACGCCAUACGCCGCUGCGCGCCACAGCGCCAUAUUUCCACCACGCCAUCGUAUUUCGUAGCUGUACGUGCUUGAACUAUCAUAUAUGUUUGACUAUAUUCAGAACGCAAUAUAGUAUUGUUGUUAAAGUAAAGCCUCAACAAUGGACAGGCCACAACUGCGGCUUUCGUUGCAAAUUUCCCCUGGUGGCACCUCCCAAAGACACCUUCCCCGCUGCCUUGCGCUCGUACAAAUUGUCGUUUUUCAAUCGGAGGCACAGCAAAAACUUUUACAAAAUUCUUACAGCGAUAUUUGCAUUUUCGAUAACGACGCAUCCUUUAACUUUAUAAUAUUCCCAAAAAUUACAUAUCCGCCAGGAUUGUGCAAAUUAGGUGAAUUUCGCCCCUUAAAAUAACGGCUGCCGAAUAUUUACAGGACCGAUUAAAAAAAAAAGACAGGGAAACCCUCCUUACCAAAAUCGUUGCUGUUAUAAAUUCCGGCAACGGAUUAACAAAUAUUUAUUCCUACGAAGGGAAUGCCAAUACAAUUGUUUGGAGUCCAAAGCAGGCAAAAGGCUGUAAACAAAUAAGGGAGAUAUUGGAAUAUUUCAAUUUUUUUUUCAGCGGAGGCUUUUGGGCCCGCUGUAUACGCUUUAUAUUUGCUCGGUCGUUGGCGAUUUAAAAACGUUUAGGCGUAUUUUGCUUAAAAAGGUGGGGAUUUUUACGCAGGAACAAAUUAAGGGAUUUUUUUUCCUAUUUACCCGGUUUUUGGAAUAAAAUUUACAGCUUUAGUUGGAAGGUUUUUGGUUGAUAAUUCUGGUUGGUUUGUUAUUUUUUGUUUUUGUGCCUUCUUCUUUUUUAUUUUCCAUCUUCCAACCCCUUUUCCUCCUUUUUAUUUAAUUUCGUCUUUUGUUAGUUUAUCUGCUAUUUAACAAAGGCAAACCCAUUUCGACGUUUCGUGCUAAUUCAAAUAUGGACCCUAUUCACGUUUAUAUUAUUUUCUUUUGUUUUUGCGCGUGCAUAUUAGUUUUUAAAACGUUUUUAUCGCGUAUAGGUCCUUAUAUUAAACCAUCCCUCCGUGUAACAGCUUUUGUUUUCUCCAAUUCGAAACCGCCGCUGGCCCCGAAACGCUGGGCUUUUAUUUGGCCGGGAAUUAUUGUUUUACUGCUUUAUUUAACGGCCAACGGUGUGGCCCUAAACCUCCGUGCGAAUCUGGCCAUCCUGAGGAAAAAGAUAGCAUUUACUUCCUCCGCAAAUAUGUUUUUUCUAUUCCUUGGGGGUAAAACUAAUCCCUUGGUCGAUUUUAUUCAAAUCCCCCUUUAUUAAUAUUAUAAAAUGCAUAAAUGGAUAUUUUUAAUAGCCAUUAUCCAAAGGCUGCUCCAUUUUGCUUUCACGUUUUACUAAUAUACCAAAAUAAGGAUCACGUCUUUUUUUACGGUCCUCAACGUAUUUGGAAUAGUGGUAUAUGUGUGUAUAUGUUGUUUUAUCGUGCAGAAAACCACAAGCUAACACAACGCAGCUCGCAACAUCCUUGGUUUUAAUAUCAGUUCAUUGUGCUUGCACAAAUUUUAUGGGCCAUUCCAAAUGGCAUUAUCUUUUGCACGUUUUCCUUUGUUUGUUAACAUUAUCGGGCUGGAUUGGGCACGUUUACGCCGGCCAGUCCUUGUACGCCAAAAAUUUUGCCCUCGCCUCUACCGUGCUUUGGUCUGGGCUGCAUAUAUAUAGGUUUUCGAAACUAAGGCUAAAUUAUACUUCAACCGUCGUACACAACCUGUGGACGGAUCGCAACGUAAUUUUCGUCCGACUGGAUCUAAAAUACAAAAUCCGAAUAUUUCCGGGAUGCUACUUUUACGUGUUCCCCAAUCGGUGCUCUAGCUUGCACGGAUACCCAAUAAUGUUUUUCGCAAACGACAAUAACCAGCCUGCUCCGUAACGUAACAACGAGGCAAAAAGUAUAUCGUUUUUUAUUACCUGCCACGGUAACGGCAAUUUGCCACAGACAAUUUAAAAAGGGACAUACCUUCGUUUGGAAGGACUUUUUGGGCAAGAAGUUCCAGUGCAAAAUUUCGAAAAUGUAAUCUUUACCGCCAAAGGCAUGGGUAUAUUAGGGGUUUUGCCGUAUGCAUUUCACUUAAUAUACAGGAGGAAAUAUAACAACGCAACGAUGGGCAAAAAGUCGGACAAUUUACUUUUUGCCGAUAUUAUACGCAUUAUAACUAUUAUUUGGUAAUUAGAAUUUGCGGCGCAGGAAAAUUGGGUCCAAGACAAAUUAAAAACUUUCCAAAAUUUAAACCGGGCGCAUUUCCAAAAUAUAGGUACCCAGACCAUCCAUUCCAGCUUAUAACGGCGAUAUUAACAAAGGUGCUGGAUAUAAAAUAAAUUUGGUAUAUAUCCAUCCCAAAAAGUCCGGGUGGUAUAAUUAUCGAUUAAACCAAAGUGAGAAUUCGCACGUGCGAUUCGCAAAAGAGUUUGAUUUUUAAACUAAAUUUCGAUUUUAGGCCCGGAAGGUAGGCAGGAGUAUAGUUUUAAAUACGUGCUAAUAAAAACUUUAAAUAAAAAAUAUUGGUAGGUGUUAAUAUAAACAAUAUGCGGAAAUAAUCGUUUCGCUGCAUCCGUACGCGCAAAUGUAGCCCGGAAUAUUAAAUCGACCCCGGGCCUCCAUUUUAUAAAAUUCGAAUAUCGGCCGGAAGAAAUAAGCAACCUAAUAUACAAUCGUCCGGAAUUAUUUUUUUCCGAUGUUUGUAAAUGGGCAAAUGGGGUUUUUAACAGUGGCCCGUUGAAAUUCGGGCAUUUGUUUAACCUAUUUGCGCUAUUUUUAAUAAUAAAUAAUUUUCGCAACCCAAUUAUCGUUUGGACGAAAUUUAGGGGUUUGUUUUGCUAUAACCUUCGCCGCUUUUAUACCAAAGAAAAAACCAUUAGUAUUAAUAGUUAUAUUUUCGACUUUGGUUUGUUCCGCCUCCAUUAAGAAAUUAAGGACCAUAAUAUAAUAUUUGUGGACACCGGGCUACCCACAAUUUGGUAAAAAUAUUUCCAACCCGAAAUGCUAAUAUAUAAAUUGGAAACGUUUCCGGAUAAAAAUAAAUUUAGGCGGAAACAGCGCGAAAUAUUUAACCAAUUUGUUUCGAAUUAUUCCGAAAACGUCCCGAUUUCGUGGAUUAUACGUGGUAUGCUUUUUUUUUUCUGCCCGUUAUUAUAAUAAUGCUAUUAAAAAACUAAUAUUUUGCAAAUUAUAAUAGCACCGGGAAAACUUUCCUAUUUAAAACCAUAGCGAAAUUUUGCAACGCAAACGGGGGCGUCGCUUUAUAUAUCGCCUUUUUUGGGGUUGCAAUUUUACAAUUCCCCGGCGGACGGGCUGCGCAUUCCGUUUUCCGCAUUCCUUUAUUAAUUAGCAAAAUAUCCGUUUAUUUAUUGGAAAAAAAUUGCAAAAUGGUUCGAUUAUUUAAAAAAAAGGUGGUAAUUAUUUGGGAUAAAAUACAAAUGCAAAAUAGAUUUUGCAUAAAGGUUGUCGACCGUGCUAUGCGGCGCAUCCGUAAAAAUAAUAAAUUUUUCGGAGGGGUUCCUAUUGUAUUUGGCGGAGAUUUUUUCAUAAUAUUACCAAAAAUAAAUUAGGCCGCGUCGGUUGGCCUGGAAUGGGAUAAGGUCGGCGAACCCCCCGUUUAUACCAAUUUAAAAAAAUUGUAUAUUUGGGACAAAUUGGACGAAUAUUUCCUGGAAAUAAACCAAAAAUUGGUCGCCGAUAAAAAAAACCGUCGUUUUAUUUUUUGGUGGAACGAUAAUUUUUUUUUGCGAAACGUCGGUUUUUCAGCUUUUUUCCCAAACGAUAUUAAUAUUUCCGACAAUUUAAAGUUAUUUGUUAAAAAGAUUUAUCCAAAAAAUAUUUUGAACGGUAAAACGGAGUAUAACGUUUUUGCCGAUUAUUAUAUUUUAUUAACCAUUGAAAAAAGCGCUGCGGCCAUUAAUUUAAUUGCAUUCGAAUUGUUAUAAAUAGAAAACCAGCACAGGUUUUUUUUUCGAAUAUUUAACGUACCAAAAAACGAAAUACAGCCGGAAACCUUUUUAAACGUUUUGGACUGCUCCGGCAUUUUUCCCGUUCGAUUUAAUUUGAAGCUAGGGUUUCCUUUAAUUUUAUUGGUUAAUAUUAAUCCGGCGAAUGGGCUUUGCGCCGGCAGCCGAUUAAAAUUUUUACGCUGUAUACCAAACGCCUUGGAGGCCAUUAUUAUAACCGGCCGAUUUGCUGGUUAGAAAUAUUUUAUUCCGCGUUUAAAAUUUUAUUUACGCAGGAAUAAAAAGUGGUGGUCCAAUAUUGCCCCCAUUUUAGGCAAACCACAAUUUUUAUUUUGCAAAAUCGCACGUUUCCAAUUUCCCGUGCGAUUAUAUUUUGCCAUAACUGUCGCACAAUUACGAGGCCAAUCCUUUUUUGUAAUCGGAUUUGAUUCGCGGGUAACGCCAACACGUAGCGAAUUAUAUGCUGCAUUUUCUCGUGUAAAGGACGUAAAAAACCUAAAUCUUUUAAAAAAAAUGCUAUUAUAUAAUUUAUUAAAAGAAAUGUUUAAAAUAUAUAAUAAUAAAUAAAACACAAAACCAAACGAUUUGAAAAACGCUAAACGAUAUUGCGAUGUAAAAAGCCAUCGAUAUAAAAAUAUAUUGACAAAAUUAACCCCGUUUACUGGCUUUUAAU
rnacentral:sRNA from 1 species